UGGGCGUAAGAGCUCGUAGGCGGUUUGUCGCGUCUGGUGUGAAAACUCAAGGCUCAACCUUGAGCUUGCAUCGGGUACGGGCAGACUAGAGUGCGGUAGGGGUGACUGGAAUUCCUGGUGUAGCGGUGGAAUGCGCAGAUAUCAGGAGGAACACCGAUGGCGAAGGCAGGUCACUGGGCCGCAACUGACGCUGAGGAGCGAAAGCAUGGGGAGCGAACAGGAUUAGAUACCCUGGUAGUCCAUGCCGUAAACGUUGGGCACUAGGUGUGGGGCUCAUUCCACGAGUUCCGUGCCGCAGCAAACGCAUUAAGUGCCCCGCCUGGGGAGUACGGCCGCAAGGCUAAAACUCAAAGGAAUUGACGGGGGCCCGCACAAGCGGCGGAGCAUGCGGAUUAAUUCGAUGCAACGCGAAGAACCUUACCAAGGCUUGACAUACACCGGAAACUUCCAGAGAUGGUUGCCCCGCAAGGUCGGUGUACAGGUGGUGCAUGGUUGUCGUCAGCUCGUGUCGUGAGAUGUUGGGUUAAGUCCCGCAACGAGCGCAACCCUCGUCUUAUGUUGCCAGCACGUUAUGGUGGGGACUCAUAAGAGACUGCCGGGGUCAACUCGGAGGAAGGUGGGGAUGACGUCAAAUCAUCAUGCCCCUUAUGUCUUGGGCUUCACGCAUGCUACAAUGGCCGGUACAAAGGGCUGCGAUACCGCGAGGUGGAGCGAAUCCCAAAAAGCCGGUCUCAGUUCGGAUUGGGGUCUGCAACUCGACCCCAUGAAGUCGGAGUCGCUAGUAAUCGCAGAUCAGCAACGCUGCGGUGAAUACGUUCCCGGGCCUUGUACACACCGCCCGUCAAGUCACGAAAGUCGGUAACACCC
rnacentral:rRNA from 1 species